rnacentral:rRNA from 1 species
GACGAACGCUGGCGGCGUGCUUAACACAUGCAAGUCGAGCGGAGCGGCGCACGGGUGAGUAACGCGUGAGUAACUGCCCCCCUCUCUGGGAUAACAGUUGGAAACGGCUGCUUAUACCGGAUAGAGGGGGAUGCCUCGCGUCCUAUCAGCUUGUUGGUGGGGUAGUGGCCUACCAAGGCGCCGACGGGUAGCCGGCCUGGGAGGGCGACCGGCCACAAGGGGCUGCGUGACUGCCCAAACUCCGACGGGAGGCAGCAGUGGGGAAGAGGGCACAAUGGGGGAAAGCCGGAUGCAGCAGCGCGCGUGCGGGAUGACGGCUUUGGGGGUGUAAACCGCUGUCAGCUAUGACGCGGUAGUGGCAGAAGAAGCACCGGCUAACUACGUGCCAGCAGCCGCGGUAAUAC